GGGCCACGGGGAAUGCCUUACNUAACGGCGAGUGAAGCGGCAAGCUCAAAUUUGAAAUCUGGUACCUUCGGUGCCCGAGUUGUAAUUUGGAGAGGGCAACUUUGGGGCCGUUCCUUGUCUAUGUUCCUUGGAACAGGACGUCAUAGAGGGUGAGAAUCCCGUGUGGCGAGGAGUGCGGUUCUUUGUAAAGUGCCUUCGAAGAGUCGAGUUGUUUGGGAAUGCAGCUCUAAGUGGGUGGUAAAUUCCAUCUAAAGCUAAAUAUUGGCGAGAGACCGAUAGCGAACAAGUACAGUGAUGGAAAGAUGAAAAGAACUUUGAAAAGAGAGUGAAAAAGUACGUGAAAUUGUUGAAAGGGAAGGGCAUUUGAUCAGACAUGGUGUUUUGUGCCCUCUGCUCCUUGUGGGUAGGGGAAUCUCGCAUUUCACUGGGCCAGCAUCAGUUUUGGUGGCAGGAUAAAUCCAUAGGAAUGUAGCUUGCCUCGGUAAGUAUUAUAGCAUCUGUGGGAAUACUGCCAGCUGGGACUGAGGACUGCGACGUAAGUCAAGGAUAGCUGGCAUAAUGGUUAUAUGCCGCCCGUCUUGAAACACGACCAAUCAG
rnacentral:rRNA from 1 species